GAUGAACGCUGGCGGCGUGCCUAAUACAUGCAAGUCGAGCGAACAGACGAGGAGCUUGCUCCUCUGACGUUAGCGGCGGACGGGUGAGUAACACGUGGAUAACCUACCUAUAAGACUGGUAUAACUUCGGGAAACCGGAGCUAAUACCGGAUAAUAUAUUGAACCGCAUGGUUCAAUAGUGAAAGACGGUUUUGCUGUCACUUAUAGAUGGAUCCGCGCCGCAUUAGCUAGUUGGUAAGGUAACGGCUUACCAAGGCAACGAUGCGUAGCCGACCUGAGAGGGUGAUCGGCCACACUGGAACUGAGACACGGUCCAGACUCCUACGGGAGGCAGCAGUAGGGAAUCUGCCGCAAUGGGGGAAAGCAUGACGGAGCAACGCCGCGUGAGUGACGAAGGUCUUCGGAUCGUAAAACUCUGUUAUUAGGGAAGAACAAAUGUGUAAGUAACUAUGCACGUCUUGACGGUAACUAAUCAGGAAGCAACGGCUAACUACGUG
rnacentral:rRNA from 1 species